rnacentral:rRNA from 1 species
GACGAACGCUGGUGGCGUGCUUAACACAUGCAAGUCGAACGGGAUUUCGUAAACAGCGGCCUCUGCGGGAGAUUCCUACUGAUAGUGGCGAAGGGGUGAAUCACGCCUGAGCAUCCUGCUUAUUACAGUGGGCUAGCCUCGAGAACCCGGGAUUACUCCCGCAUCAAAUCGUGGGAACACAUGUUUCAACGGUCAAGGAUUUAUCGGUCAUAGAUGGGCUCGCGUCUGAUUAGCUAGUUGGUGAGAUAACAGCCCACCAAGGCGACGAUCAGGAGCCGGUCUGAGAGGAUGAACGGCCAGAUUGGAACUGAGGCACGGUCCCAUAUGCGACGGGAGGCAGCAGUAGGGAAUAUUGCACAAGGGGGGAAACCGUGAUGAAGCGACGUGGGGGGAACGAAGAAGGGAUUCGUAUCGUAAAGUUCUGUGCGAUGGGAAGAGAAUGACAGUACCAGAGAAGAAAGCACCGGCUAAAUACGUG